GAUAUCAGCUCAGUAGGCACCG
rnacentral:miRNA from 4 species